rnacentral:rRNA from 1 species
CAAUGGCGUAUAUUAAAGUUGUUGCGGUUAAAGAGCUCGUAGUUGGAUUUCUGCUGAGAACGACCGGUCCGCCCUUUGGGUGUGUAUCUGGCUCUUUCUUGGCAUCUUCUUGGUGAACGUUGCUGCACUUGACUGUGUGGAGCGCUACCCAGGACUUUUACUUUGAGGAAAUUAGAGUGUUUCAAGCAGGCAUACGCCUUGAAUACAUUAGCAUGGAAUAAUAAGAUAGGACCUCGGUUCUAUUUUGUUGGUUUCCAGAGCUGAGGUAAUGAUUAAUAGGGAUAGUUGGGGGCAUUCGUAUUUGACUGUCAGAGGUGAAAUUCUUGGAUUUGUGAAAGACGGACUACUGCGAAAGCAUUUGCCAAGGAUGUUUUCAUUGA